rnacentral:ncRNA from 2 species
AAAUUCCCAAAAUACAAAGUUUAUAUAAUUUCCUGAUUGGAGGAAAGUCUCUACUCGGAGCCGUAACUUCGAACUAUAAGCGACUGGAGGCAUACU